AUUGAACGCUGGCGGCAUGCUUUACACAUGCAAGUCGAACGGUAACAGGCUUUCGGGUGCUGACGAGUGGCGAACGGGUGAGUAAUGCAUCGGAACGUGCCCAGAGGUGGGGGAUAACGCAGCGAAAGCUGUGCUAAUACCGCAUGUGAUCUGAGGAUGAAAGCGGGGGACCAGGCAGCAAUGUUUGGCCUCGCGCCUUUGGAGCGGCCGAUGUCAGAUUAGGUAGUUGGUGGGGUAAAGGCCUACCAAGCCGACGAUCUGUAGCUGGUCUGAGAGGACGACCAGCCACACUGGGACUGAGACACGGCCCAGACUCCUACGGGAGGCAGCAGUGGGGAAUUUUGGACAAUGGGCGCAAGCCUGAUCCAGCAAUGCCGCGUGCGGGAAGAAGGCCUUCGGGUUGUAAACCGCUUUUGUACGGAACGAAAAGGCUCUGGCUAAUACCUGGGGCUGAUGACGGUACCGUAAGAAUAAGCACCGGCUAACUACGUG
rnacentral:rRNA from 1 species